rnacentral:rRNA from 1 species
AUACGGAGGGUGCGAGCGUUAAUCGGAAUUACUGGGCGUAAAGCGCGCGCAGGCGGCUGGGUCAGUCGGAUGUGAAAGCCCCGGGCUUAACCUGGGAAUUGCAUUCGAUACUGCCCGGCUAGAGUAUGGGAGAGGGAAGUGGAAUUUCCGGUGUAGCGGUGAAAUGCGUAGAUAUCGGAAGGAACACCAGUGGCGAAGGCGGCUUCCUGGCCCAAUACUGACGCUCAGGUGCGAAAGCGUGGGGAGCGAACAGGAUUAGAUACCCUUGUAGUCC